AAAGACAGGAAUUGAACCUGCGACUAAGAGAUCAAAGCCCUUCGUAUUCCCUCUAUACCACUUCCUA
rnacentral:tRNA from 1 species